rnacentral:rRNA from 1 species
GCGAGUGGCGAACGGGUGAGUAAUGUAUCGGAGCGUACCUUUCAGUGGGGGAUAACGUAGCGAAAGUUACGCUAAUACCGCAUAUUCUGUGAGCAGGAAAGCAGGGGAUCGCAAGACCUUGCGCUGAUUGAGCGGCCGAUAUCAGAUUAGCUAGUUGGUGAGGUAAAGGCUCACCAAGGCGACGAUCUGUAGCGGGUCUGAGAGGAUGAUCCGCCACACUGGAACUGAGACACGGUCCAGACUCCUACGGGAGGCAGCAGUGGGGAAUCUUGGACAAUGGGCGCAAGCCUGAUCCAGCCAUGCCGCGUGAGUGAAGAAGGCCUUCGGGUUGUAAAGCUCUUUCAGCCGGGAAGAAAACGCAUGGGUUAAUACCCUGUGUGGAUGACGGUACCGGAAUAAGAAGCACCGGCUAACUACGUGCCAGCAGCCGCGGUAAUACGUAGGGUGCGAGCGUUAAUCGGAAUUACUGGGCGUAAAGCGUGCGCAGGCGGUUUGUUAAGAUAGGCGUGAAAUCCCCGGGCUCAACCUGGGAACUGCGUUUAUGACUGGCAGGCUAGAGUAUGGCAGAGGGGGGUGGAAUUCCACGUGUAGCAGUGAAAUGCGUAGAGAUGUGGAGGAACACCGAUGGCGAAGGCAGCCCCCUGGGCCAAUACUGACGCUCAUGCACGAAAGCGUGGGUAGCAAACAGGAUUAGAUACCCUGGUAGUCCACGCCCUAAACGAUGUCAACUAGGUGUUGGGAGGGUAAAACCUUUUAGUACCGGAGCUAACGCGUGAAGUUGACCGCCUGGGGAGUACGGCCGCAAGGUUAAAACUCAAAGGAAUUGGCGGGGACCCGCACAAGCGGUGGAUGAUGUGGAUUAAUUCGAUGCAACGCGAAAAACCUUACCUACCCUUGACAUGUCCGGAAGCCCUUAGAGAUUUGGGUGUGCUCGAAAGAGAGCCGGAACACAGGUGCUGCAUGGCUGUCGUCAGCUCGUGUCGUGAGAUGUUGGGUUAAGUCCCGCAACGAGCGCAACCCUUGUCGUUAAUUGCCAUCAUUUAGUUGGGCACUUUAACGAGACUGCCGGUGACAAACCGGAGGAAGGUGGGGAUGACGUCAAGUCCUCAUGGCCCUUAUGGGUAGGGCUUCACACGUCAUACAAUGGUCGGUACAAAGGGUCGCCAACCCGCGAGGGGGGAGCCAAUCCCAGAAAGCCGAUCGUAGUCCGGAUCGUAGGCUGCAACUCGCCUGCGUGAAGUCGGAAUCGCUAGUAAUCGUGGAUCAGCAUGUCACGGUGAAUACGUUCCCGGGUCUUGUACACACCGCCCGUCACACCAUGGGAGCGGGUUCCGCCAGAAGUAGGUAGCCUAACCGCAAGGAGGGCGCUUACCACGGCGGGGUUCGUGGCUGGGGUGAAGUCGUAACAAGGUA